UGGGGAAUUUUGGACAAUGGGCGAAAGCCUGAUCCAGCAAUGCCGCGUGUGUGAAGAAGGCCUUCGGGUUGUAAAGCACUUUUGUCCGGAAAGAAAUCCUUGGCUCUAAUACAGUCGGGGGAUGACGGUACCGGAAGAAUAAGCACCGGCUAACUACGUGCCAGCAGCCGCGGUAAUACGUAGGGUGCAAGCGUUAAUCGGAAUUACUGGGCGUAAAGCGUGCGCAGGCGGUUUGCUAAGACCGAUGUGAAAUCCCCGGGCUCAACCUGGGAACUGCAUUGGUGACUGGCAGGCUAGAGUAUGGCAGAGGGGGGUAGAAUUCCACGUGUAGCAGUGAAAUGCGUAGAGAUGUGGAGGAAUACCGAUGGCGAAGGCAGCCCCCAUGGGCCAAUACUGACGCUCAUGCACGAAAAGCGUGGGGAGC
rnacentral:rRNA from 1 species